rnacentral:lncRNA from 1 species
GUUAUCAAAAAACAGAUAUGGGAGAAGGCUGCAUUGAAUAUAUGAAUUAUGGUCAGGCUGGAAAAAAUUAAAAAUGUCAAUGAAAAAAGGAGGUCAGUGUGUCUGGGGUUUCUCUCUUUUCUGAGUGGCAUGGCAUUGGCAAGGCAGAAGAAAAGGCCCUGAAGAAAUUCUCAUUUGAGUUGUCCUUUUUGGAAAGAAACUGGAUAAGACUGGCCAACAGAGAUUGCAUUAAAUUAAUAGUGCUCCUUCAUGACAUUUUAAAAUAUUUUCAGCCACCUAACUGACU